ACAAGUAAUUAAUUUCAGCAAGAGGAAAGAGAGAAAGAAGGAAGACAUUUUAUAGGAGGGAUCUUUGAGCUGAGCCUCAGGGGUACUGGGGUUCCAAGAGGAGGAGGAAGAGUUUAAUAUCCUAUUAAUCUCUGAAUGUAUUGCUCCCUUAUCUACAGUUCCCUUGCCCUGCUAUUGGAGGUAGGGGACCAUACAAGGAAGAAGGAACCAAAUGAAUCCUCACCUCAUGUUCGAUGACUGUACCUGUGCUGUUGAGGACUCUCCCUUGCCCAGUUUCGGUGGGACUGAUCCAGGGUCAGCCGGCUCGAAGCGGGUCCUCCUGAUGCCCAGCUAGAUGCCUGGACCACCUGUACCUCCUGUCUCUGGGGCUCUUAUCCCAAACCGCCACAAGAUGUUGACAAUGCUUUAGGUCGUAAUGUUGGCUAUUUCCGGGGCUAAAACCAGGUCCACAUUCUUCCUUUGAAGAGGUAGAAAUUCCAAACAAACACAGAUGGUCGGGCUAUAAACUUAAUUAAAAAUUCUCCUUUAAUGGAUGUUACGUUCAAUACAGUUAUGAUGCCAAGAGAAAUACACAAGAAAUCCAUUCAGCAGCCACAUCCUGGUGCUGCGACAUAGCCCGGGAACAGGCUGGAGAGCUGGGUAUGUUUGCAUUGGAGGAAGCGUGUGGGCGCGUAUCUCUCUCUCUCUUUUCUUGGCUUGGCUGCCAUCUUCCUAAUGUUUUGACCAAGAAAAGAUGGGUUUUAAUUAAAAUCUGGGGCCAGCCAGCUGUACAUCUGCUCACUUUUCUAUCCCAGUCUAGUCUUCCUUUAGGCCUUCUAAAAUGCAGCUAACUGUGCGAGGGACUCUUCCCCGUGUCUGUAAAUGGCGGCCAAUCAUUCUUCUAUUUAUUUAUUGCUUAGAAGCAUAAAGGAAUGAUAAUAUCUCCAAGGAGGUCCCAAAUGGUUUCUUCUUUGGUGAAAACCAUUUUUUCUUGAUAGACUCAAAGAAUUGUCAAGGUUUAAUAGGAUUUAUCUAAUCCAGUCCCCUCAACUCAGACGAGGAAACUGAGACCUAGAAAGAGGGAAUAGUUCGCUGGAGAUCUCACAGUAAUUGUAAAUGAGAAAUCUGAGAGGAGACCCUGGUUUUCUCAUUCAUUGCCUAGCACUCUUUCUUUUUCUAUUUUGACAUCUAACAGCUCCGUUCUUCCCUAACCCAUGAGAAUCUUUUUUCCCAAUGGGUAUAGCCCUUAUAACAACAAAAAAACAAACAGAAAAAAAAAGCAGAUGACCGACAGCACGACUUUAUGGGUACAGAAUGUUCCACAAACUGUCAGACAAACUAUCUCCCCUCCUUUGUUGAUUAAGUGUUGCUGCAUCUUCAUUGGUGACGCAGAAAAUAAUAGAACAUAAUGAGCCUUAGGGGGAAUAAAAGAUCUACUUUAAUAGUUAUUUCACAAAAUCCUGGUCCUGAAUUUAUCAGCUAUGUCACCUUGGCCAAAUCACUCUGCUUUCUGGCCUCUUCCCUCAUCUAUAAAAAGAGAGGGUUGGACUAAAACAC